rnacentral:lncRNA from 1 species
ACCCUCACACACACACACACACAAAACACCGUAUAAUGUAAUUUAUAAAGAAGUAUAAAAGAAAUCGGUAGACCUGACCAAAACCGACACGAUUUGUUGUUGUUUUUACAGAGAGAUCCCCCGUUACGAUAAUAACUGGUCACUAAAAUUAAUCCAUGUGAAAUAAAUGAUAAUUAUUAACGCUAAUCAAUUCCAUGAAUAAAUAUUUGACGUUAUCCGAUAAUUUGGGCACAUCCAUCAAUUCUAAUCCUGUUAAAAUGUGAUUUUCUGGUAGCAGCAAUAAAAACACGACUUAUCAACAUG